rfam:Triticum aestivum genome assembly, contig: Triticum_aestivum_CS42_TGACv1_scaffold_577454_7BL
UUCAUACUCCCUCCAUCCCAAAAUUCUUGUCUUAGAUUUGUCCAAAUACGGAUGUAUCAAGUCACGUUUUAGUAUUAGGUACAUCCGUAUCCAGACAAAUCUAAGACAAGAAUUUUGGAACGGAGGGAGUACAUC